GAUGAACGCUGGCGGCGUGCUUAAUACAUGCAAGUCGAGCGAACGGACGAGAAGUUUGCUUUUUUGUCGUUAGCGGCGGACGGGUGAGUAACACGUGUAUACUCCACCUAUCAUUCUGGUAACAUCUCGGGAAUCGGGCUCUAACACCGUAUAAUCUUCUGAACCGUAGUGUUCAUAGGUAAAUUACGGCGUUUGUGUCACUACUCGCUGCUUCUCAGCUGGUUUGGCUAGUUGUUAAGGUAACGGCUUACCAAGGCUAGGAUGCAUAAGCGACCUGACGGGGUGAUCGGCCACACUGGAACUGAGACGCGGUCCAGACUCCUACGGGAGGGAGCAGUAGGCAAUCUGCCGCAAUGGGCGAAAACCUGACGGAGCAGCGCGGCGUGAGUGAUGAAGGUCUUCGGAUCGUAAAACUCUGUUAUUGGGGAAGAACAUAUGUGUAAGUAACUGUACACAUCUUGGCGGUACCUGGUCAGAAAGCCACGGCUAACUACGUG
rnacentral:rRNA from 1 species